AAAAGAAAAAAGUGGAGCCUUUGUUAGGAGGAUAUAGGCUGAGAAAGAACGUGCUGCAGUCACUUCAUCUUUUUAUCUCAUUACUGCCUAUCUUUUGGCUGUUAUUUCUGUAGAAUUGCUAUCUCCAGUGCACAAGAAAGCUGAAAGAAGUAUAAGUCCAAGUUUGGAAGAUACUUCAUAGUCAAAAUUUCCAUUACCUGAAGUCUGACAACUAAUGGCUUGAUGUGAUAAUACUGGCUGCUUUCCAGUACUUCGUUGAUUCUCCAUGUUCUCUUACACUUGAGUGCUGAAGACACCCAGGAGCUGGCUUACACUGUGCCAGUACUACUAGUCUGCAUGCUGGGGGCAAACAGAAGGCAGGAGGAUACUACACACUGUACUAUGAAUAAGUUUGUAAACAAAGACCUUCACC